GACGAACGCUGGCGGCAGGCCUAAAACAUGCAAGUCGAACGAUGUAGCAAUACAUAGUGGCGCACGGGUGAGUAACACGUGGGAACAUACCCUUUGGUGCGGAACAACGUCGGGAAACUGACGCUAAUACCGCAUAAUAUCUACGGAUCAAAGAUUUAUCGCCAAGGGAUUGGCCCGCGCUAGAUUAGGUAGUUGGUGAG
rnacentral:rRNA from 1 species